GAUGAACGCUAGCGGCAGGCUUAAUACAUGCAAGUCGAGGGCUCAGCAAUGGGACCGGCGCACGGGUGCGUAACACGUAUGCAACCUGCUGUAUCUGGGGGAUAGCCUCUCGAAAAGAGAGAUUAAUACCCCAUAGUAUAACUGAAGAGCUAUUUUUUGGUUAUUAAAGAUUUAUCGGUUAAAGAUGGGCAUGCGGCUGAUUAGGUAGUUGGUGAGGUAAUGGCUCACCAAGCCAACGAUCAGUAGGGGGUCUGAGAGGAUGUCCCCCCACACUGGUACUGAGACACGGACCAGACUCCUACGGGAGGCAGCAGUAGGGAAUAUUGGACAAUGGGGGCAACCCUGAUCCAGCCAUUCCGCGUGCAGGAAUAAGGCCCUAUGGGUCGUAAGCUGCUUUUGUAUGGGAAAAAAUCAUCUUACGUGUAGGAUGUUGAUGGUACCAUGAGAAUAAGGAUCGGCUAACUUCGUG
rnacentral:rRNA from 1 species